CUGAGCUGGAAGUGGAUGGGGCCAGCUGGGUCUGCACCCAAUGCCUAUCAGCCCCGACAGUGCAGGGGCCUGGAGAAACUGCAAAUGGAAGGGCCUCUGAGCCUUGGUGCCAGGCGGGUCAGGCUCUGCCCUCACACCAGCACCUCCUCUCUUCCAGUCGCCGUCACGGCCCCAUCAGUUUACCCUCUGGCUCCCAGCUGCAAGGAGAAGCUUGAUUCCACAGUGGCCCUGGGAUGCCUGGUCACAGGCUACUUCCCUGAGCCCGUGUCAGUGCAGUGGAACUCGGGGGCCUUGACCAGUGGCGUGCGAACCUUCCCGAGUGUCCUGCUUUCCUCGGGCUUCUACUCCAGCAGCAGCCUCGUGGCUGUGCCCAGUAGCACUGUGAAAAGCAAGACCUACACCUGCAACGUACACCACCCGGCCAGCAGCACCAAGGUGGACAAGAUUGUGAAACUACCGACCCCUCAAAAAACUCCCCAAACUUGCCCAGUCCCUGGAGGACCAUCAGUUUUCAUCUUCCCACCGAAGCCCAAGGACACCCUCAUGAUCUCCCGCACCCCUGAGGUCACGUGCCUCGUUGUGGACGUGAGCCAGGAGGAACCCGAGGUGACAUUCAACUGGUACGUGGAUGGCGUGGAGGUGCACACAGCCAAGACAGGGCAGCGGCAGGAGCAAUUCAACAGCACCUACCGCGUGGUCAGCGUGCUGCCCAUCAAGCACCAGGACUGGCUACAGGGGAAAGUCUUCAAGUGCAAGGUCAACAACAAAGCCCUCCCGUCCCCCGUAGAGCAGAGCAUCUCCAAAGCCCCGGGGCAGCCCCGGGAGCCGCAGGUGUACACAUUUGGCCCACAUCCAGAGUCGCUGUCCAAACAAGUACUCAGCCUCACCUGCAUGAUCACGAACUUCUAUCCAAACGAAAUUGAUGUCUCAUGGCAGAGCAAUGGGAAGCCAAUGCCCGAGAGCAGCUUUGUGUCCACCCCGCCCCAGGAAGAGCAGGACGGAACCUUCUUCCUCUACAGCAAGUUAAACAUAGACCGCAGCAAGUGGCCAGGAAGCAGUGUGUACUCCUGUGUCGUGAUGCACGAGGCCCUGCACAACCACUACACACAGAAGACCGUCUCCAAGUCUCCCGGUAAAUGAGUGUGACCAGUGAGCAUCCCUCCCCAGCCCCCCUGUAAAUACCUCCCAGGCACCCCAGCAUGGAAAUAAAGCACCCAGCACUGCCCUGGGAUUCUGCGAGA